rnacentral:rRNA from 1 species
GACGAACGCUGGCGGCGUGCCUAACACAUGCAAGUCGAGCGGGGACGAGGGAGCUUGCUUCCGAGUCCCAGCGGCGGACGGGUGAGUAACGCGUGAGCAACCUGCCUUUCACAGGGGGAUAACGCAUCGAAAGAUGUGCUAAUACCGCGUAAGACCACGGUGUCGCAUGACACAGGGGUCAAAGGAGCAAUCCGGUGAAAGAUGGGCUCGCGUCCGAUUAGCUAGUUGGUGAGAUAACAGCCCACCAAGGCGACGAUCGGUAGCCGACCUGAGAGGGUGAUCGGGCCACAUUGGGAACUGAGAGACGGUCCAGACUCCUACGGGAGCAGCAGUGGGGAAUAUUGGGCAAUGGGCGAAAGCCUGACCCAGCAACGCCGCGUGAGGGAAGAAGGGUUUCGGCUCGUAAACCUC